AACUAUGUGCCCUGAACUCUUGUGGGGGCAUUUCUGAGGUCACCAGCCAUCCCUGGGGGAAGUGAGUCAGCAAAAGCAAUAGGUCCAACAGUUAUUUAUCCAUUUAUCCAUUAUUUAUCCUGCAUUUUGAGCAGUGAAGACCAAGCCUUCUGCAAUAUGGCCGCUUCUGUAUUGGUUCAUCCAUUUCCAGGGGAAGUGAAACACAAAAUGCCACUCUUUCUGCAGCUAUGACUCAUGAACCUGGACAGCAUUUAGGAUGAGCUCUGAGACACAGUUCAGG